CUGUUAUGCAGCGUGCGGUCAGUCGGAACGUAAUCGUCUCUAACGCAGCACAUAUUUUUUUCCUCGAUCCUCGUUCCAACAACAUAACCUUCUGCGUUAAUUAUCAUUUCUCGGAGAAUAUUCGAGAGAGAUCGGAUUACGAACGGUUCUGAAAUAGAAGAAAACGAGAAACCGACGACGACGCGUCUUGUCACCAGAGCUUACACGUUCCAAAAAUGUCUACCUCGCUUUAACACGUUGCUCCUCUGUUCGGAUCCUCCCCUAACUGGCACGGGACCAACGCCAAAGGAGAAACAAAACUAUUUCUGAAGGAAACGCUACAAGCGCGCUUCUACCAACUGAAUGAAAUGAUAUUCGCAAAGACAAAGACUGUUUUCCUUUUCCUUGUUUCUUGGAACAUACGGGAACCAUGGAUUUCGUCGUCGGAUUAGAUGAAAUACGUGCGCGCCGCAUCGGCCGACUGACAGAGAUAAUUUCGGCCAACUGGAUCAGCCCCUGGGUUCCACUGGGACCCCGAGCCCCGUGCACAACGAGCGAUACGAAGGCGACGACCACCGGGGACCAAGUCGUUUGCGAAGCAGGCAGCUGGUCUCGCGAGGCGAAAGCUACUUGUUUACCGAGUAAUUAGAUAUUCCUGCCCGACGGAGCACUUUGACACGGAUUCGCGUUCCAACGGGCCAAGGGACGGCGAGGGGGAGGGGGUAAGUCGCCGGGUCGACGAGAUACUUUUACGAGAGGUGAAACCUUCGUUCGACCGGGUAAACAUAGUAACGGGACGACGAAAAAGAGACGGCCGGGGAGACACACGGUGUGGAAAGAGCUCGUGAAAAGGCAAUAACCGGGCAUUGUUUUAGCGAAAAAAAAAAAAGAAAAAGAAAAAGACACGUCUCGCGAUCUUUCCACUAUGCAUACGCGCGGAGCGGCACGACGAGGUAACGAUGGCGCAAAGAGGGGACGAAAAAGGGGAGAGGUCCGCGCCGGCGUGAAUAAAGGCAACCGUGCGGCUGAUUUCAUCGAAUCGCUAUUUUGUCCACGAAGGGUCGGCGCAACGCUCAUAAUGAAACGCUCGGAGGAGGCUCUCUAUCUGUUCUAAAUCUGAGGCCGCGGGAGAGCCCCGUCGUGUUCGCCUCCUCGCUUUGGAAUUUGCGCCGAAACGCCUGUUGCGCAUACCGCAUGGCGCGCGGCUGCCGUAGCCGCGAAUAUUUGAAUGGUCGCGAUCGAUCGUGCCACGCUCGACCGUCGAUCCGACGAUCGACGCGACUUAACGGAUUUUUCAUCGACGAGCCGCGGCGGCUGCCGUGCCUUCUUCAGCCUCGGCGGCGAUCCACGGAAGAAAUUACUACAGAAAUAAACAUAUUAUUCUUGUGUCUAUAUUCGCCGUGAAUGCCGGCGAUCGAUAGGGUCGUAUCGUUAAAUAUUCUUCGCAGCAUUUCCUUUUUCUAAACGUCGCUGCAGACGUUCCAUAAAACGUCGCUCCGAAAUUCACGUGCGCCACAUAUGCAUAGAUGGGCCUGCACGCGAACAUCGGCGUUCCCGACGUUCGUUUUUGAGGUUAGUUUCAAGGUACGAAGCUCGGCGGCGUGAGACGCAGGAUUCACGGGCUCCGAGUGUCCGCUAGACCAUCGCCGAAGGAAAUUCAUUCCUGAAAGUGUUUCAUUGGAGGCACUCGUGGUAACGAAGUGCGCUGCGUAAACGUGUACCGCCACGUUCCGUGUCCCAUUGUUGCUGGAUGCGCGCGAGCAGAGGAGAUGCACGGCUGUUACGGAGGCUACGUGGUCACGGAAUCGCUUAAAAACAUCGUGCUCACACGUUGCGGCAAUGAGGAAGAAUGGGAGACCGCGUGUAGUACCUGUAACUUCGGAAGUGGACCGAGUCGAAGGAGCGAGGGAGAUCGAUGCGGCGUAGCGAACAGUCAAGAGAGAGACGGAUAACUCGCGUCCGAGCGGAAGAGAGAUGCUGGGCGAGCGUGUGAGAGAGAUGGAGUGGGGAGGAAAGGAGAGAGAAAGAUAGAGGGAGGGAGGGAAGGAGGCGGGCGGUGGGACAACGUGUAACGUCAGCGAGAGAAGGAUGCGAGAAAAGGACGAAAGAUCGCGGACGGGAAAAGAGAGGGAGACAGCUGAAAGCGAAAGCGAGAAAGAGAAAACGGCGGAGAGUGAGAGUGAAGCAGACAGAGCGAAGCAGAAGAAAGGAGUUUGGCAAGCGGUACGCUACGGCAACAAAGAACUCGGGGCCAUAGAAAUGAGUUGUUGAGGUUACCUGCAGCAUCGUUCGCUGGUGGCAGAUCGCUGACCAGGCUGACCCGCGGUCGCGGAUGCGAUUGCUGCUGCUGUUGCGCCUGUUGCUGCUGCUGUACCUGAUGAAGACCCGGCUGCUGAGGUCCCGCCAGAGCCAGAUUGGCCGCGGCCGUGUUUUCGGUCAGGAUCGUCGGUACCGAGGAGGAGGAAGAUGACGAUGAUUCCGUAAGGGCCGUCGCGGUCGUGUUCUCGAGGGCCGUGUGGCCCCCACCUUCCCCUGUCCCUGUAGCCAUUCGGCCCUCGUGCAUUCCAGCAGACAGACAGACGGGGGUCCCUCCUCCUGCACGUCGUUCCCGAGCGCACGCACUUCUCUCGAGGUACACCUACACUCUCUUACGUGUCCUCGGUCUCUUUCUCACCCCCGUCUAUCUAUCUGGCUGUCUCGCUUCCUUUCUCUCUGUCUAGCCGAGAGAAGCGCGCGCUCGGUCGGUCGGUCGGUCGGUCGGUCGGUCUUGUUCCCUCUUUCUCUAUAUCUCUCUCUCUCUCUCCCUCUAACCCGCGGUUUUUCCCUCUCCGUCCCACUCUUCUCGUCUGUCUCUCUCUCUUUCCGACUCUCCUCGUGUGCGCAAGCUCUUGCUAUCCUCCUCUCUUUUUACUACUACGCUCCCCGCGCCGGCCAGCGCCGUCUGAGCGUACCGAAACUACACCGUCUCUUUCAACCAAACAUCGGUAUAUCACACAACAGCGACAUCACACACGCCCGCGGAAAAAUGAGCCCCGCGCGGAUUAUUAACCUCCUGUCCGGCGGCCCGAAAAAAAUCGAACGUUAGACAAAUGUAGGUCUGUAGGCCACUUCACUUACACUUUGCAUCGGGACGGGCACUCCCUUAGUCAAGCGAGCGUCCGGCGCACCGUUGCGCUCUGACAGCACGAGUUCCAGGACCGUACUCUCGCCGGAUGGACCCGCGGAUCGUCUUCUGUAUCACUGACACGGCCCGAAUUCACUUUUCCCGGUGAUCGACUUUCGAUCGUUGCCAUCGUUCUGCUACAUCUAUGUGGUCGCCGAUUUCACGGCCUUGCGUUCGAUGCUGGUGCAAUCGGACAAGUUCUCCGGCCGCAUUGUGUGCUUCAAUGUUAUUUGUACUGUGUGUAUAUACCGUGGUUCACAAGUAAAUUCGACGUACGGGUACGAAUACUACUGACUCGAAAAUUUCUUGUAAUUUAUUUGCUAUGCGACUAUCUUUUCGUCGGGCAUCGUUAUACUUUGAAUAUCGAAGAGUGCGAAUUCAUGCGGAUGUGAAAAUAUCAGCUCCUCGUCCGUUGAUACGGAUUCUUCUCGAGACCCUCGCAAAAUUAGCUUACAGAUGUAUUAAUCGAACCUCCGUCCGCGUACGAUCGUACAUUUUCAGUGAAAAUAUUUCUCUCGUUUGUUCGCACGCGUAUGGCGCGGAACUAUUGUAAUCUGUGCAGACGAGAUCUUACUUUGUUAUAAAUAUAAUGCGUAAUCCACAGGCUGUUUCUUUGCGGUAGUUCAUUUGAUACAAUCGAUGUAUAAUAAAUUCUGCAAGAUACAUAUAGUGUGCGCACCCGUUUUGAGAUUUGCAGGCACGGCAGUGGAUAUCGAAAGGGAAAAUACUGGACGACCGUCGUAAAUGCCGCUUUAUCAAGGGAGAGAGUUUGCAAAUGUAUUUUAUCGUUUUAAAUACAAUGUCUCGAACGCUCGAAUGGGUAUCGUAAUUGUUCGUUUUCAAUUAUCCGAUACCGAGCAUGAGAAAAAGCGAAAGUAAUUCGAAAGAAGGAACGUAUCGACCACAGCUUUAUAUGGGUACCAGGCUCUACUAGACACGGCACUGUGUUCCAAUAAUGUAUUACGGAAAGACGCAAUUUCCGAAGGAUUUCUCUGCUCUCUCGUGUUUGUAAGCAUUUAGAAUCUGCAAAUUGAAAGGCUGUCAAAUGCGUUUUUCGCGUUAUAAAUGUUGUCAAUUUACCACUGUCUUAAAUACGACGAUACUGUCUAAGUAGGUCAAGUGUCACAAUAUCUGGACGUCCUAUUAUGGGGCGCUUUUACACCGAAUGUUGCAUAACUCGUCACGCACGACUUCACCAAAUAUAACCAUGUAAAAACUA